rnacentral:ncRNA from 2 species
AGGUUAUCAAGAAAGGCAAGAGGGAUUAGACCCAAUGAGAGCCUUAGCAACCCUUUAGUCUUGUAAAGAAGGUGCUAAAUUCUACCGGAAGGAGAGAUAACAA